rnacentral:rRNA from 1 species
UACGGGGGGGCAAGCGUUGUUCGGAAUUACUGGGCGUAAAGGGCUCGUAGGCGGCCAACUAAGUCAGACGUGAAAUCCCUCGGCUUAACCGGGGAACUGACGUCUGAUACUGGAUGGCUUGAGUUUGGGAGAGGAUGCGGAAUUCCGGUGUAGCGGAUGAAAUGGCGUAGAUAUCUGGAGGAACACCGGUGGCGAAAGGCGGCA